rnacentral:rRNA from 1 species
AUUGAACGCUGGCGGAAUGCUUUACACAUGCAAGUCGAGCGGCAGCGCGGGGGCAACUCUGGCGGCGAGCGGCGAACGGGUGAGUAAUGCAUCGGAACAUGUCCGGUUGUGGGGGAUAACCUGGCGAAAGCCAGGCUAAUACCGCAUGAGCUCGAGAGAGGAAAGCGGGGGACCUGCAAGGGCCUCGCGCGACCGGGUUGGCCGAUGUCCGAUUAGCAGUUGGUGGGGUAAAGGCUUACCAAGGCGAUGAUCGGUAGCUGGUCUGAGAGGAUGAUCAGCCACACUGGGACUGAGACACGGCCCAGACUCCUACGGGAGGCAGCAGUGGGAAUUUUGGACAAUGGGGCAACCCUGAUCCAGCCAUUCCGCGUGAGUGAAGAAGGCCUU